rnacentral:misc_RNA from 1 species
GAGUGGGGGUCCUUUGGGGCCCGAUCUCCAACCCUUUGUCUAUUCCACCGCGUCGCCUCGGCGGGCCCGCGCCCGCCGACCGCGACCGCAGUUUUGAAACAUAACCACACAAAACUUUCAACAACGGAUCUCUUGGCUCU